UGCCUAACCCUUGCGAGUUGAAACUCCAAGAUAUGGCACAAAAACUAUCCCUAGUAGUAAGCUCCUCGUCAGAGCACUAGGGAUAGUCAUAGUCCGAAAGGAUUAUGGGUAGCGAAAGCUACC
rnacentral:sRNA from 12 species